ensembl:lncRNA
GAAAAUUAACUUGCAAGAAGAUACAUUCUGUGUGCAAUCUCACUUCUCUGAGCAGCACCAUUGCCCCUUGCUUGAGGGGAGGAAUGUCUCCUUUGGGGCUGAGGGGAAUACCACAGACCCCUUGGAGAGUUGCCUCCAUCUUGGGAGUCUCUCUGGGAUCUGAGCUGGGCAGACAGCCAUGAGGGUGGGACCUGCCUCAGUGACACCUGUGGUGGGAAGCAGACCUGAUGCUGGCUGCAAUCUGCAAUCAGAGGUCGUUUGUUUUCCUGUAUUGGUUGUGCGGUGGCCGUGGCAAUGGUUCACUUGUGCUGUUGCAUAGUCCUGACCUUUGAAAAGUGGCACGGUGCAUUCAUCUUUCCCAACCUCAUCUGCCUUUAGCAAGGUGUCCCCAGCUCUGGAACUUCUGGCAAUUUGACAAAGGCGUCUUCUUACAUGUCAGUUCUUGUUAUCUCCUCUGUCUUCUUGACAUAUGACAGACAUGUCAGGUCUCAUUUUUUCACUGCUCGCUUUGUUAGCCCCUUCACAGGUGCAAGAUUCCACAUCUUCUUUUUUGAUCCAUUCCCAGGGUACUUCUUAUUUUCCUGAAUUACCUUUGUGGCUUUUCUUGACAACUUAAAAAAUCCUUUUUGUCACUGUUGGUUUGUUGUUUGUUCUUCACAAAGAAAAACAGCUUUUCAGAGCCCUAAUUAGCUAGCCAACAUAAACUACUUCCAUACCUGUAAAGCGUCCAAUAGGAGAUCAGGCAAUGGGUAAAUAUUGUUGAAAUUGUAUAUAUUGGCUGCACAGGCUUAAACUCUUACUGAAAGUGAUGAAAUUAAGCAAGAAGCCUCAUAAUUUAAAUCACUUAUUCCUCCCUUCAUAUGUGGCUUUUUGCACUACUUUACCAUUGUAAAGGUUACAUCAAUCUGAAGUCAAAUUGACAUUGUAAAUGAAAGCAGAUAUUUACAGCAAAUAGAAACUUUGAAAACACUGAUUUGCUGUGUUCUAAUCUUUCUAGCUUUUAUACCAAUUAAUAUACUUUGAUUUUGAGGCUUUUCUAGAUUAAGGUUUCAUUUCUACAAUCUCUAGCAUAAGUAAUUACAACUGUGUCUGUUCCACUUCAGAAGUUAAUAGGACAAAACUGUGAACAGUCAUGUUCAUCUUGCCUUUCAGAGUCCUCCUGUUGUCCACAGAGAUGAUUUACAUAUUGACAAAGCUAUUACUUUGUUUUUGCAUAAAGUUUAAAGAGAUCGUUUGUAUUAAAGUUAAGAAUGUUUUUAGAGUACUGGCUAAGUGGCGAGCUAGGGAUAUCUGAAAUCCUGCUAUUGAUUUAUAUCACAAUAUUCAUACUGUUUUCUUCCACAAAGUGGAGUUGUCAAACAGACAAAACUGUCACACUGAAUUAGAACACAGUUCAAAUGUAAAAUAUAAAAGAAUAUUGAACCUAAACUUAGAAGAAAGGUAAGUGACUUUAGCAAGGAAAAGGUAGAAGUCUUUAAAAGGUUCUUCCUAUCAGGCAGCUUCCAGCAAUAAAAUAGAGAUUGUAAUAUUUUGUUAUUAUAAUCAGUAUAAUGCAUUCUUUCAGAAAUUUCCCAUCGACACAUACUUUUGUGCUAUAAACACUUUAAACUGUGUCUCAACAAUAAAAACAUGAAGAACCUCCCAUUUACAUUUUCUAAGAUAUUUGCUGAUAUUUAUGCAUGGCUGAGUACAACAAUGCCUAUCUCUGAGAGGUGUUAAGUCCCUUCAUUAAUUUAUCAUUUAUCAUUUUUUCACUGUUCUAAACUGCAAGAGUGUUUACAGAUGUAUGAUUGCAUGCAUAUUUUUAAAUAUAUAUGAAAAGCAAUAUGUGAACU